GAGAGAGAGGGAGGGACAGAUUUUGUUAAGCACAUUUCUAAUUUAUUGAUUGAUUAAAUAAUAUGCUUUAAGAAGUUGCUGACAUGUUUCUUUUCAUUGUUGAAUGUAGCUUGAGAUUCAACUUUUGCAAACAUUUGUGUUGGGGCAAGGCAUUUCCAACGUAGACUUAGGGUUUGAAGAUUUUGAUUUUUUAAUUACUGAUUCAUAAUGGAUGUUACUUUUUGUGAUGUGUUAGUUCAAUUUUCAUGUGGGUACUGAACAAAACUUUAUUUCUUAUUGGAAUUUUAGGGUUUUUUCAUGUUAUUUGAUUAAUGUUUUAUCUUUAUUUUAAAAGGUUUCAUAUAUUUUAAUGUAGGGUCUUCAUAUCUACAACUCAAAGCAAGUAAGAGUCAAAGGAAUAGUAUGGAUCAUUGAAAAGGGGAGCUUGAAUUCAGUUUGCUUUAUAAACUUGAGAGAUUUUUUGCUUUUCCAAUUUAAUCAUGUCUAGGACCACCUUCAAGACUCAGCAACCUUUCGAAAGAAGGCAGGCUGAAUCUACUCGCAUUAUAGACAAGUAUCCUGAUAGAGUACCUGUAAGAUUGUUUUCAGUAUGCAUACAUUGUAUAUGUGUUUAUUUUUUUCCUAACAUUGGUAAAAAGAAGUGAUUAGCUGACAUGUUACUAUGUCUGUUUUAGUUACUUCUGUGGUUAUAGGAUGCUAUUUUGCUGCCUAUUUUUUUGGUGGGCCUUGAUGCUUUUGUGAAGAUUUUGGAUGCUUUUGUGAAGAUUUUGGAUGCUCUCAAUUUUGUAUUGUUAGUAAUACACAUGUUUUUUAUUACUAAUAUAAAACCAAUGUGUUUAAUGAUUUGAGUAAGUUUUGAAUAUGAGGAAUUCUUCAGAUUUGUCUAUCUUGAUAGUAAGCUUACCUCCAAACAAAUAUCUGGUUUAAUAUUUUUCUCAGUAUAUCUCUUGAACAUUGAAGUAUAUCAGCUAUAGAGAUAAUAAAUAUUGGAAAUUAAAAGAUAAUCAACUAAUAUCUUAUCUUGAUCUUUGCACAUUUUCAUGUUUAGUCGAUUAUUAAUUUUUUUUAUGUUGUCUGCAAAAUGAUUAAGCUUAGUGCAUAAGGCUAUUUUUGUUAUCAUCGACAACACCCUACCGCCAACUGCUACUUUGAUGUCUGCUUUUUAUGAAGAAAAUAAGGAUGAGGAUGGCUUUCUUUACAUGACUUACAGCGGAGAGAAUACCUUUGGAUCCCAGUAGGAAUAAUUUGAGACCAACUUAAUGUAAAUAGCUUCCAUCUUAUCUGAGGUAGACUGGUGGCGUGGCUAUGACAACUGGUUUAUUUCCUGCAGUUGAAGAAAGGUUUGUUUCAGUUUCCAUCGAGCUAUUGGUAUAUUUACAUAGCAUCAUUAGUUAUUUUGCAGAUUAGUUUGUUCACUUAAAGAUGAUUGACGAGUCCCUCUAUCUUUUUACACCACAGGGUUUUACAUGAUAUUCCUCCAAAUGAAAAAAAUUGAUACAGUUAUCUAAUGGACAAAACCAUUGUCAGGCACUGUCUAAUAUUGUUGUGCUUUCUUAUCUUAUUGGUUAUCUAAUGGAACUUGAACAAAAGCUUGGCAAUCCCGAAAGAAAACCAUGUGAAACUGUAGUUGUAGGAUAUCAACAAGAUAGAAAGUUGUUUUGUUUGACACACAUAUUUACAACUAUUUUAAACCAAUUUUAUUUUAUUAUUGAGAUUUCGUGCAAGUCAUCCACUUACAAUUUCGCAGCCAAUGAGUUGAAUAGCAUAAUUUUGUAUGGUUCUUUUGAUUUACAGUUUAUUUUUGUAGCACUAAAGGAAGGCAUGUUCAACAAUGCAAAUGUUCUUUUCUCUUUUCAUUCAACAUUCAGAUGAUUUCAGUAUUACUUAAGUUUUUUUAAUGUCAGGUAGAUCGUGCAAUGUUUCUGAAGUAUUGGUAGACAUGAUUGAUACAGUCAGACCUCUUGCUAUGAAUAAAAAAGGUGUAAUAGAACUAACUAAGCUUUCACCACCUUUGCUAGCUGCUGUAGCAGAACCUGAAUUGCACCAUGCUUUCAGCAAUCUUAUUGAAGGUGCUUUACUGCAUACACAUGUUGGAGAAAAGGUUGCAAUUUUGUCUAAUUCUACAUCAGCUGGCGAUACAGUCGUAGGUGGAGGAGCUAGGUUGAUUGUAGCAAAGAUAGUUUGGCUCUCCAUAGUGUUUGUAUCUCUGAUUUGAUUCAGUAGCUUGCUAUCAUUAGAGUUAAUAGUUAUUAUAAUCGCUUUAAAUUCUUGCAAUAAAAACUGUUUUUCAUGAGUACCUAUUUAAUUUGAAUAAUUCUUCAUUUCUUUGAUUAUAGGAAUGAAUUAGAUUAGCUAUUACAUAGGAAUUUGUGUUUCAAAAUAUGUCCAGUUGCAUUUCCAAUGUAAUAAAAAUAUAUGCAUGUUGUGGUAUUUAGGUAUACAGUAUAUUUGAAAAAAUGUCCAGAACAUGAAGGAAACUAUGCGCAAAUUUCAAGCCUUCUUAGCAAACUUUGAGGAGUAAUGCUUGUGGAAUUAAAUAGAAAAUAUUUCCUUCCACUGACUCUAGAAAUGAGUCAUGGUGAAUCCUAAAUCUAAUGUGUGGUCCCUUUAAAAGAAGGCUUAAGUCUCAUCCCCCUGCACAAGCUCUAAAAUAUUUUCCUUCUGACGCAAUCGUUUUAUCCCCAUAAUUUUCUGAAUGGCUUACGUUUCCUGAUUAGUAUGGAACAGAGUUGGGCUCAAACUUUUUACUUGCAACACAAUGUGAGUGGAAAUGUCAUUGCAGCCCCUUGCAUAUUAGAAAUGUGGCUGUAUGAGAUAGCGUGGUUUGGCCUGAGGAAGUCACUUAUCGAAUGUGGUGUCCAAUUUCAUCAAAACAAGGAACUUAAUUCUAUACAUGAAGCUAGAGAAGUCUCAACUAUUGAUUUGCAUGAAGAAUUGAAAAUGGAUGAGAUGCAAAGAAAUAUCACAACUCUGAUAAUAUUAUUCAUGUAGCGGGAUAAUAUUGGUUUAAUAUGUUUAAUUAUU